rnacentral:rRNA from 1 species
CACGUAGGGCGCGAGCGUUGUCCGGAAUUAUUGGGCGUAAAGAGCUCGUAGGCGGCUUGUCACGUCGGAUGUGAAAGCCCGGGGCUUAACCCCGGGUCUGCAUUCGAUACGGGCUAGCUAGAGUGUGGUAGGGGAGAUCGGAAUUCCUGGUGUAGCGGUGGAAUGCGCAGAUAUCAGGAGGAACACCAAUAGCGAAGGCAGCUCGCUGGGACGGUACUGACACUAAGGCGCGAAAGCGUGGGGAGCGAACAGG